rnacentral:rRNA from 1 species
AACGAACGCUGGCGGCAUGCCUAACACAUGCAAGUCGAACGAAGCCUUCGGGCUUAGUGGCGCACGGGUGCGUAACGCGUGGGAACCUACCAUCAGGUUCGGAAUAACAGUUAGAAAUGACUGCUAAUACCGGAUAAUGUCUUCGGACCAAAGAUUUAUCGCCUUUUGAUGGGCCCGCGUUGGAUUAGCUAGUUGGUGGGGUAAAGGCCUACCAAGGCGACGAUCCAUAGCUGGUCUGAGAGGAUGAUCAGCCACACUGGGACUGAGACACGGCCCAGACUCCUACGGGAGGCAGCAGUGGGGAAUAUUGGACAAUGGGCGAAAGCCUGAUCCAGCAAUGCCGCGUGAGUGAUGAAGGCCUUAGGGUUGUAAAGCUCUUUUACCAGGGAUGAUAAUGACAGUACCUGGAGAAUAAGCUCCGGCUAACUCCGUGCCAGCAGCCGCGGUAAAGUAUCGUACGAU